rfam:Physcomitrella patens subsp. patens PHYPAscaffold_125 genomic scaffold, whole genome shotgun sequence.
AUAAAGGCUUUAAUAGAAGCCAUAUUUAAAAAUCUUAAAUUAUUAU